GGAUUGCAAGCUAUUCUCUCCUGAUAAAAUUUUUAAAAAGUUAAGAUUAAACUAAUGCAAUUCAUACAGCAGGUGAGAUAUUAACAUCCAGAUUAAG